UACGGAGGGUGCGAGCGUUGUCCGGAAUUAUUGGGCGUAAAGAGCUCGUAGGCGGUUUGUCGCGUCUGCUGUGAAAACUCAGGGCUUAACCCUGAGCCUGCAGUGGGUACGGGCAGACUAGAGUGUGGUAGGGGAGAUCGGAAUUCCUGGUGUAGCGGUGGAAUGCGCAGAUAUCAGGAGGAACACCGAUGGCGAAGGCAGCUCGCUGGGACGGUACUGACGCUGAGGCGCGAAAGCGUGGGGAGCAAACAGG
rnacentral:rRNA from 1 species